AUCCGUUUGAGUCAGUUGAUUCCAACCUCUCGUCUAGUUAUUAUGAAUUCGGAAAAUGCAACUCGAAAUAGAUAAUUAAUGAAGGCUUCAACAUCAACGAUGGGGGUAUCACUGAAUUGAAGCACCAUCUCCACAAAUAUACUAGAUUCCCUCUUGAGUAUUUGAUGCAGAGUCUUCUAAAUGGU